rnacentral:rRNA from 1 species
GACGAACGCUGGCGGCGUGCUUAACACAUGCAAGUCGAGCGGAAAGGCCCUUCGGGGUACUCGAGCGGCGAACGGGUGAGUAACACGUGAGUAACCUGCCCCAGACUUUGGGAUAACCCUCGGAAACGGGGGCUAAUACCGGAUACGACACAGCUUCGCAUGGGGUCUGUGUGGAAAGUUUUUCGGUUUGGGAUGGGCUCGCGGCCUAUCAGCUUGUUGGUGGGGUGAUGGCCUACCAAGGCGACGACGGGUAGCCGGCCUGAGAAGGCGACCGGCCACACUGGGACUGAGACACGGCCCAGACUCCUACGGGAGGCAGCAGUGGGGAAUAUUGCACAAUGGGCGGAAGCCUGAUGCAGCGACGCCGCGUGAGGGAUGACGGCCUUCGGGUUGUAAACCUCUUUCAGCAGGGACGAAGCGUAAGUGACGGUACCUGCAGAAGAAGCGCCGGCCAACUACGUG